GUCAGGAAUCACAUCAGUAAUGUCUCCAGAGGAGAGAGGAUCUCUACCUGUGGUGGAGAAACUUACUGUGAUGGCAGACAGAGUGGAGCUCAGUGUUAUGGAGCUUUGGAAGGAACUGUGGUCAUCAGACUGAUGGACAACGCCUUAGAAAUAUAUAGAUGGGAUGUGAAAAAGGGAUCAUCAGUAAUAUUAAGAUGGAGCAACGAAAUGGUUGUAACUAAUGUGAUCAAAGACAGAUCUGUCUUUAAUCUCAGUGAUGGAACAUUUAGUAUCAAUGACCUGAGCAGGAGUGACAGUGGUCAAUAUGAUCUGAUAAUCACUGACUCAAAUGGA